CUGACCAGCAGCUCUUGCAUGAGGCACCUACAGGCAGAGGAUUAAUUAGGUUUUCAGUUUCAGUUUCCCAGAAAGGAGGUGGGCUUUUUUUUCACCCUGCUUUAAAAGCCCUUGGGCCCUUCCCAGCUGGGUGCCAGCCAACUGUGGCUGCCUGGGACACUCCAUCUUAAGUCCCUGUGCCUCUGCUGUGUGUUACUGAGUGCCUAGGCCGUGCCAGCCUGUAUUCAUCUGUACUAUGACCUGAAGAGGCAGAGGCCAUCACUGUUGGUCCGGUCUCCACCUGGGGAAACUGAGGUUGCACAGUGUCUCUGUGGUGACGAGCAGGGCUUCAUCCAGUGCCUCUGUCCCCACCGAGGGGACUAUGGGAGACAUGGAGGGUGUGUGAGCAACAGGUGAGACUGGAGCCAGCUGAAAACUGGGAGACCGACCCAGCCAACAAACAAUGUCGGUCUCUGUCUUGGCACCUGCAGGAAACAAGCUCCUACUUCCAGAAAAAGUGCUCCUGGGACUCCAGGAUACCAGGCAUCUGGGUAAGCUACAAUGCUUAACCACUUAACACAAUCAGGAAGCAACAGCCAUGCAUUCGGGAAAGGAACUUCAGUGUUGUGUGGCUCAGUCUCCAGACCUAACUUUCCCUUUGGUACAGACGCGGUGGUACAUGCCUGUAAUCCCAACACUUAGGCAGGAGGAUCACUCGAGCCCAGAAGAUCAAGACUAGUGUGAGCAACAAAAUCCUUCCCUGGCACCGGUUCCAGGAGGACCUCGUUCUUAGGCAGCAUCUGUGUCUCUGUUUUGUAAGACACACAGAGUAUCCUUAACCCACUGCAGAUAUUUCCCUGGGUCCAUGGUCAAUCAACACCACCUUUCAGUCUCCAGCCUCUUAACCAGCCCAGGGCUGAGUGUUGUUUAUAGUAUUAAUAUGUUUCUGGCUGGGCUCAGUGGCUCAUGCCUGUAAUCCCGGCACUAUGGGAGGCUGAGGCAGGCGGAUCACUUGAGGUCAGGAGUUCAAGACCAGCCUGGCCAACAUAGUAAAACCCCGUCUCUACUAAAAAUACAAAAAUGAGCCGGGUGUGGUGGCGUGUGUCUAUAAUCCCAGCUACUCGGGAGGCUGAGGCAGGAGAAUUGCUUGAACCUGGGAGGUGGAGGCUACAGUGAGCUGAGAUCAUGCCACUGCACUCCAGCCUGGGCAAGAAAGUGAGACUCCAUCUCAAAACAAAGAAACAAACAAAGUAUUAAUAUGUUCCCCUUGAUCAGUGGGGUGGUUCACCCUUGUAAUCCCAGCACUUUGGGAGGCAGAGGCUGGCGGAUCGCUUGAGUCCAGGAGUUCGAGACCAGCCUGGGUGAACUAGCAAAACCCUGCCUGUACUAAAAAUACAAAAAUUAACUGGGCUUGGUGGUGCGAGCCUGUAAUCCCAGUGGAGGCUGAGACAGGAGAAUCCUUUUGUAAUGCCUGACCUUGUUUUUUUACUAACCCUAUUUUAACCUUGUUUUUACUAACCCUAUUU
rnacentral:lncRNA from 1 species